AGAAUGGCUACCGUGACCCAGUCCCUCUGUCGCUACUGGCAGUAGCCUAGCAGAUGCCUGGAAGGUGGCAAGUGCAUGGUGAUUCUUCCUUGAGAAGAUCUCCUUGUUCCAGGUACGUGGGGUACUGGGAGGCCCUGAAUCACAUGUGGUGGCUGGGAUAUUUUACAGGUGUAAGCUGUGAUUCUCCAUUGCUGGAAACCCUGCAAGGAUGUUCUACUGCAGAGAAGUAAAGACUGCAAGUUAGGACAUGCACUUUGAAAGCACCCCAGAAGCAGACCCACUUCAUGAAGCCUGGAUCUGUACUGCUGUCCCCAGGAUGGUCUGGAGCUGCUGAGUUUGAAGAAACAGCAAAAAAGCUGAAGUCCAUACCAGGAGAAAAACUCUUCUGUAUAGCAUGAUAACCCUGUCAGGAAACAGAAGACAAAAAGUCCUGCCUGAUUUAAAGCUGUGGAAAACCUUGAAUUCACAAGAAAUGGAAGGCUCACUGACAGUUUCAGAGAAACAAGAGGAUAAGCGUAGAACUGAUCUUCCAUCCACACGACGACACCUUAGAGGAUCUGAGAGAAAGUUGCAGUCAAAUCCACAUGC